AAUCCAUGAUGCGGGCAUUCUCAUAGCAUUCCCUUAAAUCUAUCCCAGCCUUCAUAGAGAGAUUCAGAGUCUUCUUGCUUAAAACUUGCAAUAAGAUUACAUAGGUGU